rnacentral:rRNA from 1 species
GAUGAACGCCGGCGGUGUGCCUAAUACAUGCAAGUCGUACGCACUGGCCCAACUGAUUGAUGGUGCUUGCACCUGAUUGACGAUGGAUCACCAGUGAGUGGCGGACGGGUGAGUAACACGUAGGUAACCUGCCCCGGAGCGGGGGAUAACAUUUGGAAACAGAUGCUAAUACCGCAUAACAACAAAAGCCACAUGGCUUUGUUGAAGAUGGCUUUGGCUAUCACUCUGGGAUGGACCUGCGGUGCAUUAGCUAGUUGGUAAGGUAACGGCUUACCAAGGCGAUGAUGCAUAGCCGAGUUGAGAGACUGAUCGGCCACAAUGGGAACUGAGACACGGUCCAUACUCCUACGGGAGGCAGCAGUAGGGAAUCUUCCACAAUGGGCGCAAGCCUGAUGGAGCAACACCGCGUGAGUGAANAAGGGUUUCGGCUCGUAAAGCUCUGUUGUUGGAGAAGAACGUGCGUGAGAG